rnacentral:rRNA from 1 species
CUGUCGUCAGCUCGUGUCGUGAGAUGUUCGGUUAAGUCCGGCAACGAGCGCAACCCACAUCCCUUAGUUGCCAGCAGUUCGGCUGGGCACUCUAUGGAAACUGCCCGUGAUAAGCGGGAGGAAGGUGUGGAUGACGUCAAGUCCUCAUGGCCCUUACGGGUUGGGCUACACACGUGCUACAAUGGUAGUGACAAUGGGUUAAUCCCAAAAAGCUAUCUCAGUUCGGAUUGUCGUCUGCAACUCGACGGCAUGAAGUCGGAAUCGCUAGUAAUCGCGUAACAGCAUGACGCGGUGAAUACGUUCCCGGGCCUUGUACACACCGCCCGUCACACCAUGGGAGUUGGUUCUACCCGACGGCCGUGCGCUAACCUUUUGGAGGCAGCGGACCACGGUAGGAUCAGCGACUGGGGUGAAGUCGUAACAAGGUAGCC